GCAAGUCGAGCGCAGUCCUUCGGGACCGAGCGGCGGACGGGUUAGUAACGCGUGGGAAUAUACCCAGUUCUAAGGAAUAGCCACUGGAAACGGUGAGUAAUACCUUAUACGCCCUUUGGGGGAAAGAUUUAUCGGAGAAGGAUCGGCCCGCGUUAGAUUAGAUAGUUGGUGGGGUAACGGCCUACCAAGUCUACGAUCUAUAGCUGGUUUGAGAGGAUGAUC
rnacentral:rRNA from 1 species